AGUCAACCUACCUUAUAGACGGGGAUAACCUCGGGAAACUGAGGAUAAUACUCGAUAGAUCAUUAUGCCUGGAAUGGUUUAUGGUCGAAAUGAUUUAUCGCCGUAGGAUGGGACUGCGGUCUAUCAGCUUGUUGGUGAGGUAAUGGCCCACCAAGGCUAUAACGGAUACGGGCUCUGAGAGGAGAAGCCCGGAGAUGGGUACUGAGACACGGACCCAGGCCCUAUGGGGCGCAGCAGGCGAGAAAACUUUGCAAUGUGCGAAAGCACGACAAGGUUAAUCCGAGUGUUUUCUGCUAAAGAAAUCUUUUGUCAGUCCUAAAAACACUGAUGAAUAAGGGGUGGGCAAGUUCUGGUGUCAGCCGCCGCGGUAAAACCAGCACCUCAAGUGGUCAGGAGGAUUAUUGGGCCUAAAGCAUCCGUAGCCUGCUCUAUAAGUUUCCGGUUAAAUCCAUUAGCUCAACUAAUGGGCCGCCGGAAAAACUGUAGAGCUAGGGAGUGGGAGAGGUAGACGGUACUCGGUAGGAAGGGGUAAAAUCCUUUGAUCUAUUGAUGACCACCUGUGGCGAAGGCGGUCUACCAGAACACGUUCGACGGUGAGGGAUGAAAGCUGGGGGAGCAAACCGGAUUAGAUACCCGGGUAGUCCCAGCUGUAAACGAUGCAGACUCGGUGAUGCCCUGGCUUGUGGCCAGUGCAGUGCCGCAGGGAAGCCGUUAAGUUUGCCGCCUGGGAAGUACGUACGCAAGUAUGAAACUUAAAGGAAUUGGCGGGGGAGCACCACAAGGGGUGAAGCCUGCGGUUC
rnacentral:rRNA from 1 species